rnacentral:sRNA from 1 species
AAAACAAUUAAUAAAUCCAGUGGCAGCCACCGUAAAUAAAUCCCAACUCCAGGAUUUAUUUCACAAAGUGGCUGCAAAAAUGUAUAUAUAGAUAUUUAUAAACAAUUAACAUUUAUUCAACAAAAGGAAAAUUAUCAAAUUU